GCUAUUAAUUGAAAAUCAAUAAAAGUGUUGGUGUUAGUACAACAAUAUUGAAUAUUUGCUAAAAGUUCAACCAUAUAAAAAAUAUAAAAAACUGAAGGAUGAAAAUUUAAUGUUGAGCGGAUAUGUCUAAGCGGAAGAAAAUGUUUGCAGGAAACGCUUCUUUUUUUUUGAAGAGAGGUUGCGUAUACGCCAUGUACUCAAAUUUUAUACCACACUUACAAGCAUAAUUCAGAAAUUGCUCAGAUGCCAAAAGAAAAUAUGAAUUAAUGACCAUUUCCUGUGAAUGAUAUGCUUUGUAAUCCUUAGAAGAAACGGAUGAUAUUAAGCACACCAAUAUUUGAAAUAUAAAAGUUUUUCAUGUGAUAUUGC